UACUAUGUUACGACUUAUCUCAGCUUAAAAAAAUAAUGAGAGCGACGGGCGAUGUGUGCAUAUUCUAGAGCUCAAAUCAUAUUAACAAUCUUAAUAAUAUUACUAUUAAAUCCACCUUCAUAUAAUCAAUUCCAGAUAAUAAUCCAUUUAUUAAAUCAAUAUUGUAAUCCAUCUCCUCUUAAUUAUAAACUGCACCUUGACCUGAAAAAUUAUCUAAUAAAUAUUAUAAAAAUAACUCUUAAAAGAUCUUCAAAAACGGCGGUAUACAUGCUAAAUAAAUUAAGUAAGGUCCAACGUGGAUUAUCGAUUAUGGGACAGAUUCCUCUAAAUAGACUAGAAUACCGCCAAAUUCUUUAAGUUUCAAGACCAUAACUAAUACUACUCAAAGUCAAUUAAUUUUCAUAAAAAUAAUAGGGUAUCUAAUCCUAGUUU
rnacentral:rRNA from 1 species